GACGAACGCUGGCGGCGUGCUUAACACAUGCAAGUCGAACGAUGAAGCGAGUGCUUUCCCUCUUGGAUCAUUGGCGAACGGGUGAGUAACACGUGAGUAACCUGCCCCUCUCUCUGGGAUAAGCACUGGAAACGGUGUCUCAUACUGGAUACGACCAACCCUUGCAUGGGGUGUUGUUGGAAAGGUUUAUCGGUGAUUGAUUGACGCGAGGCCUAGCAGCUUAUUGGCGGGGUAAUGGCCUACCAAGUCGACGACGGGUAGCCGGCCUGAGAGGGUGAACGGCCACAAUGGGACUGAGACAGGGCGCAGACGGCUACGGGAGGCAGAAGUGGAGAAUAUGGCACAAUGGGCGCAAGCCUGAUGCAGAGACGCCGCGUGAGGGAUGACGGCUUUCGGGUUGUAAACCUCUUUCAGCAGGGAAGAAGCGAAAGUGACGGUACCUGAAGAAGAAGCACCGGCUAACUACGUG
rnacentral:rRNA from 1 species